GUAGCAUUAGCUCAGUGGUAGAGCCCCCUCUUCCCAUGCGGGGAGACCUGGGUUCGAUUCCCGGCUGCUUCC
rnacentral:tRNA from 1 species